rnacentral:rRNA from 1 species
GUGGGGAAUCUUGCGCAAUGGGCGAAAGCCUGACGCAGCCAUGCCGCGUGAAUGAUGAAGGUCUUAGGAUUGUAAAAUUCUUUCACCGGGGACGAUAAUGACGGUACCCGGAGAAGAAGCCCCGGCUAACUUCGUGCCAGCAGCCGCGGUAAUACGAAGGGGGCUAGCGUUGCUCGGAAUUACUGGGCGUAAAGGGCGCGUAGGCGGACAGUUUAGUCAGAGGUGAAAGCCCAGGGCUCAACCUUGGAAUUGCCUUUGAUACUGGCUGUCUUGAGUACGGGAGAGGUGAGUGGAACUCCGAGUGUAGAGGUGAAAUUCGUAGAUAUUCGGAAGAACACCAGUGGCGAAGGCGACUCACUGGCCCGUUACUGACGCUGAGGCGCGAAAGCGUGGGAGCAAACAGGAUUAGAUACCCCGGUAGUCC